UUUUUCCGUCAUCCCGGCGAAGGCCGGGAUCUCGCCGGUGCAUCGGGACGAGACGGUGAGAUCCCGGCCUUCGCCGGGACGACGAUUCAA
rnacentral:sRNA from 1 species